rnacentral:rRNA from 1 species
UGCCAGCCGCCGCGGUAAUACGGAGGGGGUUAGCGUUGUUCGGAAUUACUGGGCGUAAAGCGCACGUAGGCGGAUUAGUAAGUUAGGGGUGAAAUCCGGGGCUCAACCCCGCGAAAUGCAAGCGAUACUGGCGGACUGGAGAUCGGUAGAGGCUAGCGGAAUUCCUGGUGUAGCGGUGGGAUGCGUAGAUAUCAGGAAGAACACCCGUGGCGAAGGCGGCUAACUGGCUCGGUACUGACGCUGAGAUGCGAAAGCGUGGGGAGCAAACAGGAUUAGAUA